AAAUUGAAGAGUUUGAUCAUGGCUCAGAUUGAACGCUGGCGGCAGGCCUAACACAUGCAAGUCGAACGGUAACAGGAAACAGCUUGCUGUUUCGCUGACGAGUGGCGGACGGGUGAGUAAUGUCUGGGAAACUGCCUGAUGGAGGGGGAUAACUACUGGAAACGGUAGCUAAUACCGCAUAACGUCGCAAGACCAAAGAGGGGGACCUUAGGGCCUCUUGCCAUCGGAUGUGCCCAGAUGGGAUUAGCUAGUAGGUGGGGUAAAGGCUCACCUAGGCGACGAUCCCUAGCUGGUCUGAGAGGAUGACCAGCCACACUGGAACUGAGACACGGUCCAGACUCCUACGGGAGGCAGCAGUGGGGAAUAUUGCACAAUGGGCGCAAGCCUGAUGCAGCCAUGCCGCGUGUAUGAAGAAGGCCUUCGGGUUGUAAAGUACUUUCAGCGGGGAGGAAGGGAGUAAAGUUAAUACCUUUGCUCAUUGACGUUACCCGCAGAAGAAGCACCGGCUAACUCCGUGCCAGCAGCCGCGGUAAUACGGAGGGUGCAAGCGUUAAUCGGAAUUACUGGGCGUAAAGCGCACGCAGGCGGUUUGUUAAGUCAGAUGUGAAAUCCCCGGGCUCAACCUGGGAACUGCAUCUGAUACUGGCAAGCUUGAGUCUCGUAGAGGGGGGUAGAAUUCCAGGUGUAGCGGUGAAAUGCGUAGAGAUCUGGAGGAAUACCGGUGGCGAAGGCGGCCCCCUGGACGAAGACUGACGCUCAGGUGCGAAAGCGUGGGGAGCAAACAGGAUUAGAUACCCUGGUAGUCCACGCCGUAAACGAUGUCGACUUGGAGGUUGUGCCCUUGAGGCGUGGCUUCCGGAGCUAACGCGUUAAGUCGACCGCCUGGGGAGUACGGCCGCAAGGUUAAAACUCAAAUGAAUUGACGGGGGCCCGCACAAGCGGUGGAGCAUGUGGUUUAAUUCGAUGCAACGCGAAGAACCUUACCUGGUCUUGACAUCCACGGAAGUUUUCAGAGAUGAGAAUGUGCCUUCGGGAACCGUGAGACAGGUGCUGCAUGGCUGUCGUCAGCUCGUGUUGUGAAAUGUUGGGUUAAGUCCCGCAACGAGCGCAACCCUUAUCCUUUGUUGCCAGCGGUCCGGCCGGGAACUCAAAGGAGACUGCCAGUGAUAAACUGGAGGAAGGUGGGGAUGACGUCAAGUCAUCAUGGCCCUUACGACCAGGGCUACACACGUGCUACAAUGGCGCAUACAAAGAGAAGCGACCUCGCGAGAGCAAGCGGACCUCAUAAAGUGCGUCGUAGUCCGGAUUGGAGUCUGCAACUCGACUCCAUGAAGUCGGAAUCGCUAGUAAUCGUGGGUCAGAAUGCCACGGUGAAUACGUUCCCGGGCCUUGUACACACCGCCCGUCACACCAUGGGAGUGGGUUGCAAAAGAAGUAGGUAGCUUAACCUUCGGGAGGGCGCUUACCACUUUGUGAUUCAUGACUGGGGUGAAGUCGUAACAAGGUAACCGUAGGGGAACCUGCGGUUGGAUCACCUCCUUA
rnacentral:rRNA from 1 species